rnacentral:rRNA from 1 species
GAUGAACGCUGGCGGCGUGCUUAACACAUGCAAGUCGAACGGAAAGACCCUGGUUUUGUGGGGUGCUCGAGUGGCGAACGGGUGAGUAACACGUGAGUAACCUGCCCUUGACUUUGGGAUAACCUUAGGAAACUGGGGCUAAUACCGGAUAGGAGCAUCUGUUGCAUGGUGGGGGUUGGAAAGUUUCGGCGGUUGGGGAUGGUCUCGCGGCUUAUCAGCUUGUUGGUGGGGUAGUGGCUUACCAAGGCCUUGACGGGUAGCCGGCCUGAGAGGGUGACCGGCCACAUUGGGACUGAGAUACGGCCCAGACUCCUACGGGAGGCAGCAGUGGGGAAUAUUGCACAAUGGGCGGAAGCCUGAUGCAGCGACGCCGCGUGCGGGAUGACGGCCUUCGGGUUGUAAACCGCUUUCGCCUGUGACGAAGCGUGAGUGACGGUAAUGGGUGAAGAAGCACCGGCUAACUACGUG